rnacentral:rRNA from 1 species
GGGGGCUAGCGUUGUUCGAAAUUACUGGGCGUAAAGCGCACGUAGGCGGCUUUGUAAGUUAGAGGUGAAAGCCCGGGGCUCAACUCCGGAAUUGCCUUUAAGACUGCAUCGCUAGAAUUGUGGAGAGGUAAGUGGAAUUCCGAGUGUAGAGGUGAAAUUCGUAGAUAUUCGGAAGAACACCAGUGGCGAAGGCGACUUACUGGACACAUAUUGACGCUGAGGCACGAAAGCGUGGGGAGCAAACAGG